rnacentral:rRNA from 1 species
AUUGAACGCUGGCGGCAUGCCUUACACAUGCAAGUCGAACGGUAACAGGUUAAGCUGACGAGUGGCGGACGGGUGAGUAAUGUAUCGGAACGUGCCCAGUCGUGGGGGAUAACGUAGCGAAAGCUACACUAAUACCGCAUACGAUCUACGGAUGAAAGCGGGGGAUCGCAAGACCUCGCGCGAUUGGAGCGGCCGAUAUCAGAUUAGGUUGUUGGUGAGGUAAAAGCUCACCAAGCCUGCGAUCUGUAGCUGGUCUGAGAGGACGACUAGCCACACUGGAACUGAGACACGGUCCAGACUCCUACGGGAGGCAGCAGUGGGGAAUUUUGGACAAUGGACGCAAGUCUGAUCCAGCAAUGCCGCGUGCAGGACGAAGGCCUUCGGGUUGUAAACUGCUUUUGUACGGAACGAAACGGUGAGCUCUAAUACAGUUUGCUAAUGACGGUACCGUAAGAAUAAGCACCGGCUAACUACGUGCCAGCCGCCGCCGUAA